rnacentral:rRNA from 1 species
AUUGAACGCUGGCGGCAUGCCUUACACAUGCAAGUCGAACGGCAGCACGGGUGCUUGCACCUGGUGGCGAGUGGCGAACGGGUGAGUAAUACAUCGGAACGUACCUUAUCGUGGGGGAUAACGCAGUGAAAGCUGUGCUAAUACCGCAUACGCCCUGAGGGGGAAAGCGGGGGAUCGAAAGACCUCGCGCGACUAGAGCGGCCGAUGCCGGAUUAGCUUGUUGGUGGGGUAAAAGCCCACCAAGGCGACGAUCAGUAGCUGGUCUGAGAGGACGAUCAGCCACACUGGGACUGGGACACGGCCCAGACUCCUACGGGAGGCAGUAGUGGGGAAUUUUGGACAAUGGGGGCAACCCUGAUCCAGCAAUGCCGCGUGAGUGAAGAAGGCCUUCGGGUUGUAAAGCUCUUUUGUCAGGGAAGAAACACCGGCUCUAACACAGUCCGGGAAUGACGGUACCUGAAGAAUAAGCACCGGCUAACUACGUGCCAGCCGCCGCCGUAA